rnacentral:rRNA from 1 species
AGAUCGGGAUAACACCUAGGAAACAGAUGCUAAUACCGGAUAACAACAGAUGAUGCCUAUCAACUGUUUAAAAGAUGGUUCUGCUAUCACUCUUGGAUGGACCUGCGGUGCAUUAGCUAGUUGGUAGGGUAACGGCCUACCAAGGCGAUGAUGCAUAGCCGAGUUGAGAGACUGAUCGGCCACAUUGGGACUGAGACACGGCCCAAACUCCUACGGGAGGCAGCAGAG